rnacentral:rRNA from 1 species
UGAAAUGCGUAGAUAUGUGGAGGAACACCAGUGGCGAAGGCGGCUUACUGGCCUGUAAUUGACGCUGAGGCUCGAAAGCGUGGGGAGCAAACAGGAUUAGAUACCCUGGUAGUCCACGCCGUAAACGAUGAGUGCUAAGUGUUAGGGGGUUUCCGCCCUUAGUGCUGCAGCUAACGCAUUAAGCACUCCGCCUGGGGAGUACGACCGCAAGGUUGAAACUCAAAGGAAUUGACGGGGGCCCGCACAAGUGGUGGAGCAUGUGGUUUAAUUCGAAGCAACGCGAAGAACCUUACCAGGUCUUGACAUCCUUUGAACCUUCUGGAGACAGAACUUUCCCUUCGGGGACAAAGUGACAGGUGGUGCAUGGUUGUCGUCAGCUCGUGUCGUGAGAUGUUGGGUUAAGUCCCGCAACGAGCGCAACCCUUGAUUUUAGUUGCCAGCAUUUAGUUGGGCACUCUAAAGUGACUGCCGGUGCAAGCCGGAGGAAGGUGGGAUGACGUCAAAUCAUCAUGCCCCUUAUGACCUGGGCUACACACGUGCUACAAUGGAUAAUACAAAGGGUUGCCAAACCGCGAGGUCGAGCUAAUCCCAUAAAAUUAUUCUCAGUUCGGAUUGUAGGCUGCAACUCGCCUACAUGAAGCCGGAAUCACUAGUAAUCGUGGAUCAGCAUGCCACGGUGAAUACGUUCCCGGGCCUUGUACACACCGCCCGUCACACCACGAGAGUUUGUAACACCCGAAGUCGGUAGGGUAACCUUUAUGGAGCCAGCCGCCGAAGGUGGGACAGAUAAUUGGGGUGAAGUCGUAACAAGGUAGCCGUAUCGGAAGGUGCGGCUGGAUCACCU